rnacentral:rRNA from 1 species
GACGAACGCUGGCGGCGUGCCUAAUACAUGCAAGUCGAACGAGAGCGACCGGUGCUUGCACUGGUCAAUCUAGUGGCGAACGGGUGAGUAACACGUGGGUAACCUGCCCAUCAGAGGGGGAUAACAUCCGGAAACGGAUGCUAAAACCGCAUAGGUCUUCGAGCCGCAUGGCUUGAAGAGGAAAAGAGGCGCAAGCUUCUGCUGAUGGAUGGACCCGCGGUGCAUUAGCUAGUUGGUGAGGUAACGGCUCACCAAGGCCGUGAUGCAUAGCCGACCUGUGAGGGUGAUCGGCCACAUUGGGACUGAGACACGGCCCAAACUCCUACGGGAGGCAGCAGUAGGGAAUCUUCCGCAAUGGACGCAAGUCUGACGGAGCAACGCCGCGUGAGUGAAGAAGGUUUUCGGAUCGUAAAACUCUGUUGUUAGAGAAGAACAAGUGCUAGAGUAACUGUUAGCGCCUUGACGGUAUCUAACCAGAAAGCCACGGCUAACUACGUG